UACGUAGGGGGCAAGCGUUAUCCGGAUUUACUAGGUGUAAAGGGAGCAUAGACGGCGAUGCAAGUCUGAAGUGAAAGGCGGGGGCCCAACCCCCGGACUGCUUUGGAAACUGUAUAGCUGGAGUGCAGGAGAGGUAAGUGGAAUUCCUAGUGUAGCGGUGAAAUGCGUAGAUAUUAGGAGGAACACCAGUGGCGAAGGCGGCUUACUGGACUGUAACUGACGUUGAGGCUCGAAAGCGUGGGGAGCAAACAGG
rnacentral:rRNA from 1 species